rnacentral:rRNA from 1 species
UACAGGGGGUGCAAACGUUGCUCGGAAUCAUUGGGCGUAAAGCGCACGUAGGCGGUUCGUUAUGUCGGAUGUGAAAGCCCUUGGCUUAACCGAGGAAGUGCAUCCGAAACUGGCGAGCUAGAGUACUAAAGAGGAUCGCGGAAUUCCCGGUGUUGCGGUGAAAUGCGCAGAUAUCGGGAGGAACACCGGUGGCGAAGGCGGUUCUCUGGGCCUUACCUGACGCUGAGGAGCGAAAGCGUGGGGAGCGAACAGG